CUACGGGAUGCUCCAGUGGGGAAUAUUGCACAAUGGGCGCAAGCCUGAUGCAGCAACGCCGCGUGAACGAUGAAGGUCUUCGGAUCGUAAAGUUCUUUUCUUAGGGAAGAAAAAUGACGGUACCUAAGGAAUAAGCACCGGCUAAAUACGUGCCAGCAGCCGCGGUAAUACGUAUGGUGCAAGCGUUAUCCGGAAUCACUGGGCGUAAAGGGAGCGUAGGCGGUUUUGCAAGUCAGAAGUGAAAGGCUACGGCUCAACCGUGGUAAGCUUUUGAAACUGCAAGACUAGAGUGCAGGAGAGGCAAGUGGAAUUCCUAGUGUAGAGGUGAAAUUCGUAGAUAUUAGGAGGAACACCAGUGGCGAAGGCGACUUGCUGGACUGUAACUGACGCUGAGGCUCGAAAGCGUGGGGAGCGAACAGGAUUAGAUACCCGCGUAGUC
rnacentral:rRNA from 1 species